UACGUCUUACUGAUAUACUAUUCUUUCUUCUUUUUUUAAAUCCUGGGAACCCAUAGCCUUUGCAAUGAGCUAUAUCCCUAGCCCUUUAUAUUUCUGAUUUUGAGACAGGAUCUCACUAAGUCAUUAAGUUGCUUACCCUGGGCUUCAACUUGGGAUUCUCCUGCCUCAGCCUCCCUGAGAUUCAGACAUGCAACACUAUUCACUGACAGUCUUAACAGAUGCUUAUUUGGGUUGAUGAGAUUAAUAAAGAGUUCGUUCCUCAGCUACCAGCACUUCUAAGUGGUUCACAUGUUGAUGAAUUGAUCAGAAGUCUCUCUGAAGAGGCUGAUUUUUAAACCAAAGCCCAACUUAUUUAUAAAGGAAGAUCCAUCUAACCUAAUGUGUACCUGGUAUGUUUUCUCAACAUAUUACUCUUUUGACAUUGAUAUACGUGAGAAGCCCAAUUUGUUAGUGAUAGAUAGCUUUGGCCAACACUGACUCAGCCAGGUCAAAGAAGUGGAUGGAUUUAAGGGACAU
rnacentral:lncRNA from 1 species